UACGAGUAUGUGUGUCUGUGUGCAGCGACGUACAAAUCUACACAGGUCGAUCACGAACUCUGUAGCAUAAGUAAAGUUAGCUAAUCAUCAACCUAGACGAACAGCUCGAGCAGGACGGGCGGCGGCUGCGCCACCGCGGCGGAGGCGGCCUCCUGCUCGCGGUGGCGGCGCAUGUGGCCCCCGAGCGCCUGCCCCAUCUCGAACCCUUGCCCGCAGACGUGGCACUGGUGCGCCUGCUUCUGGUCGGUGGCCUUCUUCUGCUCCGGCCCGGUCCCGGUCCCGGCGAGGGCGAG
rnacentral:lncRNA from 1 species